AAUGCGUUUUGAGAUGGUCCUGCGGCCUAUCAGUUAGUUGGUAGGGUAACGGCCUACCAAGACUAUAACGGGUAUCCGACCUGAAAGGGCGAACGGACACAUUGGAACUGAGACACGGUCCAGACUCCUACGGGAGGCAGCAGUGGGGAAUUUUGGACAAUGGGGGAAACCCUGAUCCAGCGACGCCGCGUGGAGGACGAAGGCUUUCGAGUUGUAAACUCCUUUUAGAGGGAAAGAAAAAAAUGACGGUACCCUCAGAAAAAGCCACGGCUAACUACGUGCCAGCAGCCGCGGUAAUACGUAGGUGGCGAGCGUUACUCGGAAUUACUAGGCGUAAAGCGUAUGUAGGCGGUUAGAUAAGUCUUUAGUGAAAUUUCUUGGCUCAACUGAGAAUAGUCUAAGGAUACUGUUUAACUUGAGUUUGGGAGAGGGAGACGGAAUUCCUGGUGUAGCGGUGAAAUGCUUAGAUAUCAGGAGGAACACCAAUGGCGAAAGCAGUCUCCUGGCCUAACACUGACGUUAAUGUACGAAAGCUAGGGUAGCAAACAGGAUUAGAUACCCUGGUAGUCCUAGCUGUAAACGAUGUUCACUAGAUGUGGGAGGUAUUGACCCCUUCUGUGUCGACGCUAACGCAUUAAGUGAACCGCCUGGGGAGUACGACCGCAAGGUUGAAACUCAAAAGAAUUGACGGGGGUCCGCACAAGCGGUGGAAUAUGUGGUUUAAUUCGACGCACCACGAAAAACCUUACCUGGGCUUGAACUGCUAAUAGUAAGAGCCGGAAACGGCGAUGAUCCGCAAGGAAGUUAGUAGAGGUGCUGCAUGGCUGUCGUCAGCUCGUGUCGUGAGAUGUUGGGUUAAGUCCCGCAACGAGCGCAACCCUUAUCCCAUGUUACCUGUAGAAAUACAGGGUCUCUGAGGAAACUGCCAUUGAUAAAAUGGAGGAAGGUGGGGACGAAGUCAAGUCAUCAUGGUCUUUAUGUCCAGGGCUACACACGUAUUACAAUGGACGGUACAGAGGGUGGCAAUACCGUAAGGUGGAGCAAAUCCCUAAAGCCGUCCUCAGUUCGGAUUGUGGGCUGCAAUUCGUCCACAUGAAGUAGGAAUC
rnacentral:rRNA from 1 species